GAUGAAGAACGUAGCGAAAUGCGAUACGUAAUGUGAAUUGCAGAAUUCAGCGAACCAUCGAAUCUUUGAACGCACAUUGCGCCCGCCAGUAUUCUGGCGGGCAUGCCUGUCCGAGCGUCAUUACCCCCCUCACGCGCCCCGUUGCGCGCUGGUGUUGGGGCUCCUCCGCCUGGCGGAGGGCCCCGAAAGCGAGUGGCGGGCCCGGCUGGUUGGCUCCGAGCGCAGUACCGAACGCAAGUUCUCCCCUCGCUCAGACGCCCCGCCGGCGCCCUGCCGUCAAAACGCGCAUGACGUGCAACUCUUUUUACAAGGUUGACCUCGGAUCAGGUAGGACUACCCGCUGAACUUAAGCAUAUCAAUAAGCGGAGGA
rnacentral:misc_RNA from 1 species